UGUGUAAUUAAAGCAAGCCAUAUUUUUUUUCAAGCAUGUAGACCAUGGCCCCAGAUCCCCUGACUGUAACCCUGUGUGACGAUGGGCCAAGAAAAAGAUUCUGACUAAAGGGCUCCCCAGCCUGAGAUUCAGAUUUCAAAGUACAUAAUUGUUUUUGCCAACGAGUAUUCUUUUUCUUUCCUAAACUUGAUCAAUAUUUAUACUGUGGCUUUGCAAUAGGAGAUACUUGCCAUAACACCAGGUUUGUUUUAGCAUAAAAUCUGCUAUGUUCAGCUGUCAUCGAGGAACACCAGGUUUCAGUCAAAGAACAGGGGAGAAAAACAAAUGGAGAUCUGGAAGCUAUGUGAAGGUCCAAGUUGUGUAACUGCCAUUCAAAUUGAUGAGGUUCACCUUGGACCAAGUCUGAUUGUACUACUCAAGCAGGGCUGGAGACUGUAUUUUAAUCACAAUAGAAACCCUAACUGAGGCAGUCUCUGAGGCAGCAGCUCAACAUGGAUGAGGAGGUGGGAUGCUCUGGAAGGAAACAUCCAUCACACAGUGUUAAGGUGCUACAUCAACUGAGAAGGCAGAGAGUAAUCAGUGUGACGAUCAGCUUGCCUGUACUCCAGGGUGAAUGUCUUCCUCCUUCAGAAGGCCUAUCAGCUGCCGGGUACAAUGAUGAAUAAGACAUGGAAGAUAUUCUUGUAGGGGACAAGAAGACAGCAACCGGGGGAGGUGUAAACAAGGAAACUGGAAUUUUGUCACUUUACAUCCUCUGACCAUCCUGCCCUGGCACCAUCUGGGAAUAGAGAGCCUGUGCUGCUGGAGUCCCUUUACCUGAAGCCUCUCAUCACCUUCCCCUGUUGCAGGGGUGUGGUAAGGAGGAGAGGUGGGCUGAGGAAAUGCCAUGCAUUUGAUUUCUUGAUUUCUUCUUCAAUUGCAGUAAAGGGCUAAGACCUAAAACAGGA